GAAGGCAUGUUUAGGGCUAUUAUAGCGUUACAGUAUACGUGUACUUUUUGCUUCGUUUUGCUGGUUUACUAUUAAGUAUUAACGGUCGCGUUUUUAAUUACAUUUUUAGAACUUUUUUUAUGUGACAAUCAUUAUUGCAAUCAUGGGAUUAUUAGAAUAUACUAUACAGUGAAUAUGACGUAAUAGACAGCAACUGCGCAUGUCCUGGUCAGCUGUUGAUGUAUUUUAUGAUGCUUUUUAAAAAAUAUUUUUAGAACUUUUUUAUGUGACAAUCAGUUAUUGCAAUCAUGGGAUUAUUAAAUUAUUCAAUACAGUGAACACGACGUAAUAGACAGCAACUGCCCUGGUCAGCUGUUGAUGCAUUUCAUGAUGCUUGUUCACUAGCUGUGGUUGGAUUUUAAUUUUUUUAUAAAAUAUUUUGACGUGAAGUACAAUCAGUUACUGUUAUUGCAGACGUGGAGUUAUAAAUGCAGCUGACAGUUUGAAGAUAAUUUGUGUUACAGAGUGUUCGAGUGUGCAUUGCUUGUACUUGUAUGAGAUUGUUUAAACAAUGAUUGGAGUUUUACAUGCAUGAACAGAUAUGAGCUUGAUUGUUCUUGUCUUUUUUCAAAUAAGCACUCAAACAUAUGCAGUGAUUUGAUUUUCUUGGAAUGAACACCACGAGUUGUAUAUUUCAAAUAAUUGUUACGUACCUUAAUGGUACACACAUUCCAUUAUAGGUAUACAAUUUUUUUUUUCAUAGACCUAACCUUCCAUGCAUUUAGUAUUCUUGUUAUUCGUAUGCUACAUGUUGAGUUUUGAAUCAUUUUAAACAUUAAACUCUAUUGAUUAUAUUGCUGUCUAUAAGUUUCAAAACAAUUUUACUGAUUAAAGUAAAAGAAUAUAUUUAUAU
rnacentral:misc_RNA from 1 species